rnacentral:rRNA from 1 species
GUUGGUGGAGUGAUUUGUCUGGUUAAUUCCGUUAACGAACGAGACCUCAACCUGCUAAAUAGUCCCGCUCAUCCUCGAUGGCCGGCUGACUUCUUAGAGGGACAAUGCGCGAUUAGCGCAUGGAAGUUUGAGGCAAUAACAGG